rnacentral:rRNA from 1 species
CGUGAGUGAAGAAGGCCCUUGGGUUGUAAAGCUCUUUCGUCGGGGAAGAAAAUGACUGUACCCGAAUAAGAAGGUCCGGCUAACUUCGUGCCAGCAGCCGCGGUAAUACGAAGGGACCUAGCGUAGUUCGGAAUUACUGGGCUUAAAGAGUUCGUAGGUGGUUAAAAAAGUUGGUGGUGAAAUCCCAGAGCUUAACUCUGGAACUGCCAUCAAAACUUUUUAGCUAGAGUAUGAUAGAGGAAAGCAGAAUUUCUAGUGUAGAGGUGAAAUUCGUAGAUAUUAGAAAGAAUACCAAUUGCGAAGGCAGCUUUCUGGAUCAUUACUGACACUGAGGAACGAAAGCAUGGGUAGCGAAGAGGAUUAGAUACCCUCGUAGUCCAUGCCGUAAACGAUGUGUGUUAGACGUUGGAAAUUUAUUUUC